rfam:Granulicatella adiacens ATCC 49175 genomic scaffold SCAFFOLD4, whole genome shotgun sequence.
AGAGCGUCAUGAUGGUAAUAAUCAUCUUGCUUUGUAAGAUGGGAAGUCUGAGGCUACUGAAUGGUAGCCUUAUUCUUUCCUUGAUUAUUUAGUCUAGCUCGUUGCCUUCCCGUCAUUCACUUGGCGGGGA